rnacentral:sRNA from 1 species
GCAACGGCAGUGGGAGAAUUUAUUCAAUUUCUUUGGACAGAAUGAAUUGUUAUUGUCUACUGUUGGCUCCUUUAUCUUCACCUCAUCUGUCUUCUGGCUGAGUAAUAUUUUCCUCAUGGUACUGGAUGUGACUGGCUGGCCGGCAGCUUUGCUGAAGUAUAAGAUACAGAA